GACGAACGCUGGCGGCGUGCCUAAUACAUGCAAGUUGAGCGCUGAAGGUUGGUACUUGUACCAACUGGAUGAGCAGCGAACGGGUGAGUAACGCGUGGGGAAUCUGCCUUUGAGCGGGGGACAACAUUUGGAAACGAAUGCUAAUACCGCAUAAAAACUUUAAACACAAGUUUUAAGUUUGAAAGAUGCAAUUGCAUCACUCAAAGAUGAUCCCGCGUUGUAUUAGCUAGUUGGUGAGGUAAAGGCUCACCAAGGCGAUGAUACAUAGCCGACCUGAGAGGGUGAUCGGCCACAUUGGGACUGAGACACGGCCCAAACUCCUACGGGAGGCAGCAGUAGGGAAUCUUCGGCAAUGGAAGAAAGUCUGACCGAGCAACGCCGCGUGAGUGAAGAAGGUUUUCGGAUCGUAAAACUCUGUUGGUAGAGAAGAACGUUGGUGAGAGUGGAAAGCUCAUCAAGUGACGGUAACUACCCAGAAAGGGACGGCUAACUACGUG
rnacentral:rRNA from 1 species